GUACUCGCUUCAGCAGCACAUACAUUAAAAUGGGAGCGAUACAGAGAUGAGCAUGGCCCCUGCGCAAGGAUGACACGCAAAUUCGUGAGCAAUUCCAUAUUAAU
ensembl:snRNA U6 U6 spliceosomal RNA